GUGGCGAACGGGUGAGUAACACGUGAGCAAUCUGCCCUUGACUCUGGGAUAACUGCGGGAAACUGUAGCUAAUACCGGAUACUUUCCUCGCUGGGCAUCCAGCGGGGAAGAAAGAAUUUCGGUCAAGGAUGAGCUCGCGGCCUAUCAGCUAGUUGGUGAGGUAAUGGCUCACCAAGGCGACGACGGGUAGCCGGCCUGAGAGGGUGACCGGCCACACUGGAACUGAGACACGGUCCAGACUCCUACGGGAGGCAGCAGUGGGGAAUAUUGCACAAUGGGCGAAAGCCUGAUGCAGCAACGCCGCGUGAGGGAUGAAGGCCUUCGGGUUGUAAACCUCUUUUAGCAGGGAAGAAGCGAAAGUGACGGUACCUGCAGAAAAAGCACCGGCUAACUACGUGCCAGCAGCCGCGGUAAUACGUAGGGUGCAAGCGUUGUCCGGAAUUAUUGGGCGUAAAGAGCUCGUAGGCGGUUUGUCACGUCUGCUGUGAAAAUCCGAGGCUCAACCUCGGACUUGCAGUGGGUACGGGCAGGCUAGAGUGCGGUAGGGGAGAAGGGAAUUCCUGGUGUAGCGGUGGAAUGCGCAGAUAUCAGGAGGAACACCAGUGGCGAAGGCACUUCUCUGGGCCGUAACUGACGCUGAGGAGCGAAAGCGUGGGGAGCGAACAGGAUUAGAUACCCUGGUAGUCCAC
rnacentral:rRNA from 1 species